rnacentral:rRNA from 1 species
UACGUAGGGAGCAAGCGUUGUCCGGAAUCAUUGGGCGUAAAGCGCGCGUAGGUGGCCCCAUAAGUCCGCUGUGAAAGUCAAAGGCUCAACCUUUGAAAGCCGGUGGAUACUGUGGGACUAGAGUACGGAAGAGGCGAGUGGAAUUCCUGGUGUAGCGGUGGAAUGCGCAGAUAUCAGGAGGAACACCAAUAGCGAAGGCAGCUCGCUGGGACGUUACUGACACUGAGGCGCGAAAGCAUGGGGAGCGAACAGG